UAUUUUUAAGAGUGUAGUUCAUGUCAAACCUGUAUGACUUUCGUCUGUGGAACACAAAUGAUAUUGAAACGUCUCCAUAUAAUGGAAAUCAAUGGAGUCUAGUCUGGAUUUGGACAGUUUACACAUUCUUCAAAAUAUAUUCUUUUGUGUUCCACAGAAGAAAGUCAUUCAUACAGGUUUGGAGUGACAUGAGAGUGAGUAAAUGAGUUUUAUUUAUCUUUAAAUUGCAUUAUGUAAAACUGGGAGUACUUAAGGAGGAAAUCAGCUACAGGCCAUCAAAUUGAAAGAAAAAAUUAUAUCUGUGUGCAUAAGCAGCAUUUAAUUUUUUCAGUAGUACAUGACUGCGAUCCACCGCACAUCUAGUCAAAACAAAGCCAACUGAAGAUCAUGUGCACAUUAUUACACCCCUAACUGAACGUCAUAGGUCUUCAAAUGGGAUUUUUAUUUGAUUUGAUCGGUUUGAUGCGUUUUACAAUUAUAUACAAUAUACAGGCAGCACAUAGUACAUUUUCUUUCCAACAAUCAAUCAAUCAAACAGGGAAGUUGUUAAAUUAGACUACUUUCUGAGAGAGAGCUUCAAACAUUAUACACUGUGCAGUACUGGAAGCAAGUCUUAGAAAACGGGAUCUUAAAAAGGGAUGAAAAGAAACCGCUGAUGCAUCUUAAAAGCCCUCAGUAUGUACAGAAGAAGCCAAGAAAUCGAAAGAAUCGCCACAAAACACAAAGACGCUAAUAGAAUGAGAAGUCUUUUUUUUUUUCUCCAUAUACAUAACAUUGCUAAAAA